CAAUAGCGUAUAUUAAAGCUGUUGCGGUUAAAAAGCUCGUAGUUGGAUUUCUGUCAAGGACAACUGGUCCGCCCCUCGGGUGAGCACAUAGUUUGGUCUUGGCAUCUUGUUGGAAACUGUUGCUGCACUUGGUUGUGUGGCGCAGUGUCCAGCACUUUCACUUUGAGGAAAUUGGAGUGUUUCAAGCAGGCACAUGCCUUUGGACACAGUAGCAUGGAAUAAUUAGAUUGGGCUUUUGCUCCAACUUGUCGGUUUCUGGAGCUGAGGUGAGAAUUAAUGGGGAUUGUUGGGGGCAUCCGAAUUUAGCCGUCAGAGGUGAAAUUCUUGGAUCUGCUAAAGACGGACAACUGCGAAAGCGUUCGCCCAGGAUGUUUUCAUUGA
rnacentral:rRNA from 1 species